UACGUAGGGGGCAAGCGUUAUCCGGAAUCAUUGGGCGUAAAGCGCGUGUAGGCGGUUCCGUAAGUCCGCUCUGAAAGCCCAGGGCUCAACCCUGGGAGGCGGGUGGAUACUACGGAACUGGAGUACGGAAGAGGAGAUUGGAAUUCCUGGUGUAGCGGUGAAAAUGCGCAGAUAUCAGGAGGAACACCGGUGGCGAAGGCGCCACUCUGGGCCGGAACUGACGCUGAGGAGCGAAAGCGUGGGUAGUAAACAGG
rnacentral:rRNA from 1 species